GGCCAUCUCCUCCUCCCUCUCCUGGGCGGUGGUUGCUGGAGCAGCUGACAACAAUCAACUAAUCAAGACACACUCUGCAGUAUAUCAACCCUGGUCUUCCUGCCACUCAUCGCCAGAUCGUUUUCGUCGCCACAGUGUGUGGUAUACCUACCUGCCAGCUGCCUCCGCUUCCUGCUGCUCCUACCUGCUCACUCUCCAACCUCAUUGCUUCCUCUUGGAUCACAGUGGAUCGGGAUUACCAUCUGGAGGAACAUUGGAACCACAUUCCCCAUGCUCCUCGCUCCCCUUUAAGACUUCCAGUCUUGACUCCAUCCACAACAGACUUGGAGAGACUUGCCCUGUCCACCAUUUUUGGAUUUAUUAUUAAUAAUAAAUUCUUUAUUGUUACACCUUU